GAAGAGUCCCAUAAUAGGACGAAACGGCCGUC
rfam:Schistosoma rodhaini strain Burundi genome assembly, scaffold: SROB_scaffold0002066